GAUGAACGCUGGCGGCGUGCCUAAUACAUGCCAGUCGAGCGAACGGACGAGAAGCUUGCGUCUCUGAUGUUAGCGGCGGACGGGUGAGUAACACGUGUAUAACCUACCUAUAAGACUGGGAUAACUUCGGGAAACCGGAGCUAAUACCGGAUGAUAUUUUGAACCGCAUGGUUCAAAAGUGAAAGACGGUCUUGCUGUCACUUAUAGAUGGAUCCGCGCUGCAUGAGCUAGUUGUUAAGGUAACGGGUUACCAAGGCAACGAUGCAUAGCCGACCUGAGAGGGUGAUAGGCCACACUGGAACUGAGACACGGUCCAGACUCCUACGGGAGGCAGCAGUAGGGAACCUUCCGCAAUGGGCGAAAGCAUGACGGAGCAGCGCCGCGUGAGUGAUGACGGUCUUCGGAUCGUAAAACCCUGUUAUUAGGGAAGAACAUAUGUGUAAGUAACUGUGCACAUCUUGACGGUACCUAAUCAGAAAGCCACGGCUAACUACGUG
rnacentral:rRNA from 1 species